rnacentral:lncRNA from 1 species
AUUCCAUUAGCUUCCUUUGGAUGAUGAUUCCAUUCGAGUCCAUUCGAUGAUGAUCACAUUGGAUUUCAUUCCAUAAUUCUACUCGAUUCCAUUUGAUGAUGAUUCCAUCUGAUUCCAUUUGAUGAUUCCAUUUGAUUCCAUUAGAUGAUGAUUCCAUUCGUUUCCAUCCGAUGAUGAUUCCAUUUGAUUCCGUUCAAUGAUUAUUCCAUUUGAGUCCAUUCGAUGAUUCCAUUCGAUUCCAUUUGAUGAUGAUUGCAUUCGAGUCCAUGGAUUAUUCCAUUCCAUUCCAUUAGAUGGUUCCAUUCGAGUCCAUUCGAUGAUUCUCUUCGAUUGCAUUUGAUAAUUCCAUUUGAUUCCGUUUGACGUUGAUUCCAUUUGAGUCCAUUCAAUGAUAAUUCCAUUCGAUUCUAUGCGAUGAUUCCAUUCCUUUCCAUUUGAAGGUGAUUCCAUUCGAGACCAUUCGAUGAUUGCAUUCAAUUCAUUCGAUGACGAUUCCAUUCAAUUCCGUUCAAUGAUUCUAUUAGAUUCCAUUUAAUGAUGAUUCCAUUCGAUUCCAUUUGAUGAUGAUUCCAUACGAUUCCAUUAGAUGAUGACUCCU